UGGGAGGGGAGGAGAAGGAGAGGAAAAUGAGAAACAAGAAAGGAAAAGAAGGAGAAAGAAGAAGAAGAAGAGAGAAAGGAGUUGUGCAGCAGCCUUCAUGCUACUGUACACUACUUCGGCUGCUACUGUUCAGCCAUGGAUGCAGCUGAAUGAGAGUGCAUGCAAGUGUUAUGUACUCUCCACUUCAAGAAGGUGCUGCCUUAGUCUUGUUCGGCUGAAGAAUUGGAGAAAAGGAUGGCUGAUUGAGCUGCAUGCAACUGCAACAAGAGAGUACAAAAGGUUUUGAAGUUGAAGCAAAGAAGAUUAGGAGAUUGGUUGUAGAUGAAGUCAUGGACAGGGAGUGAUUAUAGACAAGGACUUUGAUACUUUGUGUUUUAUAUUGUAAAUUAAGUGUAAGUGGUAUUAUGAAUUUUGUUGUAACCUGUGGACGUACUAAAUGGGCCUGAAAUAUUAUAAAGUUAUCAUUGUAGCUGAUCACCACAUGUAUAUCAUGACCUUUAUGGAAUUUUACAUAUACUCUGAUUU